UACGUAGGGUCCGAGCGUUAAUCGGAAUUACUGGGCGUAAAGCGUGCGCAGGCGGUCUUGUAAGCCAGAUGUGAAAUCCCCCGGCUUAACCUGGGAACUGCGUCUGAUACUGGACGGCUUGAGUAUGGGAGAGGGAUGUAGAAUUCCAGGUGUAGCGGUGAAAUGCGUAGAUAUCUGGAGGAAUACCGGUGGCGAAGGCGGGUCUCUGGGCAACAACUGACGCUGAGGAGCGAAAGCGUGGGGAGCGAACAGG
rnacentral:rRNA from 1 species